rnacentral:rRNA from 1 species
CAGUCGCCGCGGUAAUACAGAGGGUGCAAGCGUUAAUCGGAGUUACUGGGCGUAAAGGGCGCGUAGGCGGUUAUAUAAGUGAGAUGUGGAAUCCCUGGGCUUAACCUAGGAACUGCAUCUUAUACUGUAUGGCUAGAGUAUUGUAGAGGGUAGUGGAAUUUCCGGUGUAGCGGUGAAAUGCGUAGAGAUCGGAAGGAACACCAGUGGCGAAGGCGGCUACCUGGACAAAUACUGACGCUGAGGCACGAAAGCGUGGGGAGCAAACAGGAUUAGAUACCCCGGUAGUCCCUGUCUCUUAUAC